CCCUUAGAUGUUCUGGGCCGCACGCGCGCUACAAUGAUGCAACCAACGAGUGCUGCCCCUUGGCCGAGAGGCCCGGGGAACCUUGCAAACUGCAUCGUGAUGGGGAUAGAUUAUUGUAAUUAUUAAUCUUCAACGAGGAAUUCCUAGUAGGUGCAAAUCAUCAGUUUGCAUCGAUUACGUCCCUGCCCUUUGUACACACCGCCCGUCGCUGCUACCGAUUGGUUGAUCUGGUGAAUUAUUCGGACUGCCGGCUGAAGGGGUUUCCUCAUCUGCCAGCGGAAAGUCUUGUUAACCCUAUCAACUAGAGGAAGCAGAAGUCGUAACA
rnacentral:rRNA from 1 species